rnacentral:lncRNA from 1 species
CACAGCUUAGAGCAAGAACAGACAAGUGACAUGAGGAGCUCAGGGACAACACAGCCAGACUUCUCAGAAAUGCCUGUGAGGAGAGGACUCGUUUUCCAGUCGUGUCCAAAGAUGGGGAUUGGACCACACAGCGUGGCUGGGGGGCAACGUUCCCAAGAAAAACCCUCAGCACUCUGUGCCUCCCACCCCCACCCAGACAUUGGUCAACACGCCGAGGUCCUGAUGCCAAGAAGCCCUGGGAAGGGGCCCCUCCUGUCUUCAACCUCUGCUAGGAUGUGAGAAGCUCCAUCCCCAAGUUCCCACUGCCCAGGAUGAAGCCUCUCCAGACAACUCUCCCGCUAUGAUGGACUGUAUUGUUUUCUCCCUUGGAAUUAUGUGCUGCAAACAAAACAAAACAAAACAAAAACAAUCAAACAACAACAAGAGUCCUCUUGUCCCCUAAAUUGCUUCUGC